rnacentral:rRNA from 1 species
GAUGAACGCUGGCGGCGUGCCUAAUACAUGCAAGUCGAGCGAACAGACGAGGAGCUUACUCCUCUGACGUUAGCGGCGGACGGGUGAGUAACACGUGGAUAACCUACCUAUAAGACUGGGAUAACUUCGGGAAACCGGAGCUAAUACCGGAUAACAUGUUGAACCGCAUGGUUCAACAGUGAAAGACGGUCUUGCUGUCACUUAUAGAUGGAUCCGCGUCGCAUUAGCUAGUUGGUAAGGUAACGGCUUACCAAGGCAACGAUGCGUAGCCGACCUGAGAGGGUGAUCGGCCACACUGGAACUGAGACACGGUCCAGACUCCUACGGGAGGCAGCAGUAGGGAAUCUUCCGCAAUGGGCGAAAGCCUGACGGAGCAACGCCGCGUGAGUGAAGAAGGUCUUCGGAUCGUAAAACUCUGUUAUUAGGGAAGAACAAAUGUGUAAGUAACUAUACACGUCUUGACGGUACCUAAUCAGAAAGCCACGGCUAACUACGUG